rnacentral:misc_RNA from 1 species
UCCCCGUUACCGGGGCAGUCUAGCCAGAAAAAUACAACUGACUAUAAGGGUUGCGCUCGUUGAUGGACUUAACCAAACAUCUCACGACACGAGCUGACGACGGCCAUGCAACACCUGUCACUGGGUUCCCGAAGGCACUCUUUCCUUUCAGAUAGAUUCCCAGGAUGUCAAACCUUGGUAAGGUUCUUCGCUUAUCGUCGAAUUAAACAACACGCUCCACCGCUUGUGCGGGUCCCCGUCAAUUCCUUUAUGUUUUAAGCUUGCGCUCGUACUCCACAGGCGGGAUGCUUAACGCGUUAGCUUCGCAACUUGUAGGGUCGAUACUACAAACUGCUAGCAUCCAUAGUUUACGGCGUGGACUA